AAGAUAUUAUUCUGAAGGGAUAGCUGUGGUUUAACAUUUUGUCAUUUCUAACUCAUUCAACAAGUAACAGUCGUGGCCGAAAGAUCGUGGAGUGCAUUUUGAUUUUAUAGCCUAACAAAGGGUAACAUGGAAAUUUAAGAAUUGUUAUAAACGUGAAGGAGGUGGGAAAAAAAAAGGUUAAUUUAAAAUUAAAGGAGGUAAUUAAUUGGCGGUCACAGUUAGCCCGGGUAAACCCGCGUGGCCGCCACCUAAAAUUAAUUGGUCUCGAAAAUUUAAUGGAUCUUUUGAAUAUUAUCAACCUGGAUUCAUCGAGAAUUCGACAACACCCUCAUUCCGAAUUGAUUUUAAUUCAUCUUGUGAAUCUUUUUGGGGACAAACAAAAAUCAUUGGUUAUAAUGCAGUUCAAAGUGCCGAUGAAGCCCCAUCCCACGGCGAACAAGUAAACGUAUUCAUAGCGCAACUAACAACAACAAAAAAUUUAAUAAUUUUUAACAAACAAUUUAUAUUUAACUACAAUCAACAUAAAACUUUAAACAAAUGGUUAAUAACUUUCAAAAAAAAAGAAAACUGAAAAAAAAGCUAAAACCCACUUAAAAAUACGUAGAAGAAGUUUUAUAAAACUAAAAUUCUUAAAAUCGAAAAUAUAAAACUUAAACUUUAAUAAUUAAAAUCUAUUUAAAAAUUUAAACCAAUUAAGGCUACUUUAAAAAUUAGAUAAAAUCAAGCGAAUAUUAGCAAAAUAUAGCACUUCAAAAUUACUUAAAAGAUACCUGAUAAAAGAACUCAAAAUUUCUAAAUAAUUAAAACUUAAAAACUAGCUAAAACCAACUUAAAAACUAGAAGUUAAAAGAAUCUGGUUAAAACUUAAAAACUAGCUAAAACCAACUUAAAAACUAGAUGUUAAAAGAAUCUGGUUAAAACUUAAAAACUAGCUAAAACCAACUUAAAAACUAGAAGUUAAAAGAGUCUGGUUAAAACUUAAAAACUAGAUAAAACCAACUUAAAAACUAGAAAUAAAAAGAAUCUGGCUAAAACUUAAAAAAAAAAAAAAAAAAAAAAUCGUAAAGUAAAA